ACUGCUCAGUAACACGUGGACAACCUGCCCAAAGGUCCGGGAUAACCCCGGGAAACUGGGGAUAAUACCGGAUAAAUCACAGGUACUGGAAGGUCUUGUGGUUGAAACUUCCGGGGCCUUUGGAUGGGUCUGCGGCGGAUUAGGUUGUUGCCGGUGUAACGUACCGUCAAGCCUGUAAUCCGUACGGGUUGUGGGAGCAAGAGCCCGGAGAUGGAUUCUGAGACACGAAUCCAGGCCCUACGGGGCGCAGCAGGCGCGAAAACUCUACAAUGCAGGCAACUGCGAUAGGGGAACAUCGAGUGGUACUCAUAUUGGGUGUCUGUCCCACCGUCUAAAAAACGGUGGUUAGCAAGGGCCGGGCAAGACCGGUGCCAGCCGCCGCGGUAAUACCGGCGGCUCGAGUGGUGGCCGAUAUUAUUGAGUCUAAAGGGUCCGUAGCCGGCUUUGCAAGUCUUUUGGGAAAUCCAGCGGCUUAACCGUUGGUCGUCCGGGAGAUACUACAUUGCUUGGGACUGGGAGAGGUAGGAGGUACUCAGGGGGUAGGAGUGAAAUCCUGUAAUCCUUUGGGGACCACCGGUGGCGAAGGCGUCCUACCAGAACAGGUCCGACGGUGAGGGACGAAAGCUAGGGGCACGAACCGGAUUAGAUACCCGGGUAGUCCUAGCCGUAAACGAUGCUCGCUAGGUGUCACAACAAUCGUGAAUUGUUGUGGUGCCGUAGGGAAGCCGUGAAGCGAGCCACUUGGGAAGUACGACCGCAAGGUUGAAACUUAAAGGAAUUGGCGGGGGAGCAC
rnacentral:rRNA from 1 species